rnacentral:lncRNA from 1 species
UCUCAAUGUGACUCCCUGUUUAAAUAAAGGUUAAUAAAUAAAAGUAUUAGAGAAAAUCUGAAAAAAAUGGACCCCUCUGAUGCUGUACGUUACAUCGUGUUGUGUCACGACGUAACGAACAGCAGGUAACCUAGUGGUUCGAGUGUAGGGGGGUAGGUAGCCUAGUGGUUAGAGUGUAGGGGCGGUAAGUAGUCUAGUGGUUAGAGUGUAGGGUGGUAGGUAGUCUAGUGGUUAGAGUGUAGGGGUGGUAGGUAGCCUAGUGGUUAGAGUGUAUGGUGGUAGAUAGUCUAGUGGUUAGAGUGUAGGCUGGUAGGUAGUCUAGUGGUUAGAGUGUAGGGGGGGUAGGUAGCCUAGUGGUUAGAGUGUAGGGGCGGUAAGUAGUCUAGUGGUUAGAGUGUAGGGUGGUAGGUAGUCUAGUGGUUAGAGUGUAGGGUGGUAGGUAGUCUAGUGGUUCGAGUGUAGGGGUGGUAGGUAGCCUAGUGGUUAGAGUGUAGGGUGGUAGGUAGUCUAGUGGUUAGAGUUGUAGGGGGUAGGUAGCCUAGUGGUUAGAGUGUAGGGGGGUAGUCUAGUGGUUAGAGUGUAG